AUUGAACGCUGGCGGAAUGCUUUACACAUGCAAGUCGAACGGCAGCACGGGAGCUUGCUCCUGGUGGCGAGUGGCGAACGGGUGAGUAAUACAUCGGAACAUGCCUAGUCGUGGGGGAUACCGUAGCGAAAGUUACGUUAAUACCGCAUACGUCCUGAGGGAGAAAGCAGGGGAUCGAUCACUGAGCGCAUUGACGCAGUCAAUAAAGCUGCUUAGUGCAUUGAGUGAUCGACCUUGCGCGAUUAGAGUGGCCGAUGCCUGAUUAGCUUGUUGGUGAGGUAAUGGCUCACCAAGGCGACGAUCAGUAGCGGGUCUGAGAGGAUGAUCCGCCACACUGGAACUGAGACACGGUCCAGACUCCUACGGGAGGCAGCAGUGGGGAAUUUUGGGACAAUGGGGGCAACCCUGAUCCAGCCAUUCCGCGUGAGUGAAGAAGGCCUCGGUUGUAACG
rnacentral:rRNA from 1 species